AGGUAGCUUGCUACUGGACCUAGCGGCGGACGGGUGAGUAAUGCUUAUGAAUCUGCCUAUUAGUGGGGGACAACAUUCCGAAAGGAAUGCUAAUACCGCAUACGUCCUACGGGAGAAAGCAGGGGACCUUCGGGCCUUGCGCUAAUAUAUGAGCCUAAGUCGGAUUAGCUAGUUGGUGGGGUAAAGGCCUACCAAGGCGACGAUCUGUAGCGGGUCUGAGAGGAUGAUCCGCCACACUGGGACUGAGACACGGCCCAGACUCCUACGGGAGGCAGCAGUGGGGAAUAUUGGACAAUGGGGGGAACCCUGAUCCAGCCGUGCCGCGUGUGUGAAGAAGGCCUUAUGGUUGUAAAGCACUUUAAGCGAGGAGGAGGCUACUAGUAUUAAUACUACUGGAUAGUGGACGUUACUCGCAGAAUAAGCACCGGCUAACUCUGUGCCAGCAGCCGCGGUAAUACAGAGGGUGCGAGCGUUAAUCGGAUUUACUGGGCGUAAAGCGUGCGUAGGCGGCCAUUUAAGUCAAAUGUGAAAUCCCCGAGCUUAACUUGGGAAUUGCAUUCGAUACUGGAUGGCUAGAGUAUGGGAGAGGAUGGUAGAAUUCGCGGUGUAGCGGUGAAAUGCGUAGAGAUCUGGAGGAAUA
rnacentral:rRNA from 1 species